GGGGGACAGCUCCAGGUGACAAAAGCCAGCUGCUUCAGCCCCCGGUGUCGCGGCGCGUUCCGGGCUGGCGGCCGCAGCCGUGCACACACAUGUUCCCCUGCAAAACCCACAUAAACAGGCAUGGGUGCGCACGGCGGGGACAGAGGUUUGGUCUGAUUUGAUUUAUGUAUAACAGCGCGUAUAAAGCUUUUCAAGGUGGCUGCAAUGUAAAAAGUAAUGACUUUAUUACCUCUGAAAGGUUCUGUGGUUCGCAUUUAACAGUCCUCUGAAUUACAAUUCAUUACACAGUUGUGAGCUCUCUAAAGCCAACAUACAUCAGAAUACCUAUCUGUGGUUAUUCCCAAUAAAUAGCAGGCAACAUUUUAUUGAUUUUCUUUAAAAAAUCAUAGCGAAUUAAGCACUCAGUUACAAGUAAAUCUGUUUUAUUAUUGCACUAUAUCCGAGAUUCCAGAGGUGACUUCCCAGACCACGUCUUAAAACAUACAUUCAAAAGCGAUUUUUACAGACGCUUUCGUGAAUGGCAGCGAGAAUGUUUCUACCAUUAGCGUGCCCUUAAUUUCAGCGCCGUAAAAUGCCUCGAAUUCAAUGGAAACUCGCUCCCUUCAAACCGUAUUUCAUCCCGGCCGGAUAAUUAUUAAUAUUGGCAUCUGAUCACAAUAGUGCCGUGCUCCCCCUCCGCCCCCCCAGCACUUUGCAUUGUCAUGUGAUUGGAGGGAGAUAACAAACCUCAAGAAAGAAAAGGAGUCAGAAGACAUUUUUAACGUGCUCUAACCACAGAUUAAUAAUGCAGGCUUUAAUUUUCCCUCUCGUAUGAAGUUUCACAGUAUCUGUGUACCUAAAGGGAGAGGGAGAGAUGUAAACAUCUAGAGAGACCCACAGACUCGCUGUGCUGCAAUACGCUCAGAUGCUGCAGCAAUAGGCGCUACAGAAAAAACGGGGUUGACUGCAAGCCGUACCCGACCAUCAGCCUCCAAACGUCAUUCCCCGCUGGGGUCAGCGAAAAGUUUGGUCUCGGCGCGGAUGGAGCGGUGCGGUCCAGCACCAGGGCCCGUGCUUGAGGCCCCGCGCUGCCCUGCCUCUGCGCAGACCUGGCGGCAGCAGCAGCCCCGCUAACCUGCUCCCUGGACUGCAGCUGUGUGAGCGCGUGGGGCGACGGAUGCAGGAGCGAUGUUCCUAUGGAGAAGGCCCAAAGUGUCUCGGAGCCGAGGUGUAUCUUAGACAACCGCUGUACUCAGAGCCAAUAAAAAUGAAACUAUUCUCUAUUGAGACCUAAUUAGCUUUUAUAUUCAAAGCCGUACUGCACAUUUGUACAUUGCUUAUGAGUGGGACUAAAAAAUAUAUGUACCAUGACACUAUA